AUACAAGACUUCAGUGUGGUCAACAUUUAUUCUGCUGUAUACGGUAAGACAUUAUCAAAAUAUUUCAACAAAACAUGGAACAAUACAUGAAGCAGCCGCGUUAUCUGUGUUUAGUGUUAAGCAAAGUUUGGUCAAAUCCUGCAAUAGAAUUUUGGUUGCUUUCAGGCGUAUUAAUCCUUACAGCACGUACUCGUGCCUUACACAGGAACUCAUCGGUGGAACCUAAUCUACGAACUCGAGAGCGCAAUUAUUAAAAAGAAAAGAUUAUUGAAGAGGAGGGUUUGUAUUGAGAAAAAGGGAUUUUAUUGAGAAGACGGGAUUUUAUUGAGAAAAGAGAUUUUAUUGAAAAGAAGGGGUUAUACUCCUGACAGCAGAUGCAUCGGAAACAAUUAUACAACGCUAGUUAUAAAAUGCGCUUGGUUUUGCAAUAUUUCAUCAGUUCUUUACAAGAAAUAACAUGAACAAGUCAGCACUUCUAGUUUUGCUUCUCAUCGGACUUCUCGUCCUCACUGAAACUACAACUGCUUGGUGGGUUGGUCGUCGCCGUGGUGGUCGUCGUCGUAUAAUCGCUUAUAAUCAAGAGGAAAUGCCAGAAGUAAACGAAAUUCCAGACUUCGAGUCCGAGGGUCUUGAGUCUAAAAUGAGAUUAUAAUGAGGUUUCCGCUCAAGCUGCAGAAGUACAAUAUUAAUAAAUUAAAC